rnacentral:rRNA from 1 species
UGGGGAAUAUUGCACAAUGGGGGAAACCCUGAUGCAGCAACGCCGCGUGAGUGAUGACGGUCUUCGGAUUGUAAAGCUCUGUCUUUGGGGACGAUAAUGACGGUACCCAAGGAGGAAGCCACGGCUAACUACGUGCCAGCAGCCGCGGUAAUACGUAGGUGGCGAGCGUUGUCCGGAUUUACUGGGCGUAAAGGGAGCGUAGGCGGAUUCUUAAGUGGGAUGUGAAAUACCCGGGCUUAACCUGGGUGCUGCAUUCCAAACUGGGAAUCUAGAGUGCAGGAGGGGAGAGUGGAAUUCCUAGUGUAGCGGUGAAAUGCGUAGAGAUUAGGAAGAACACCAGUGGCGAAGGCGACUCUCUGGACUGUAACUGACGCUGAGGCUCGAAAGCGUGGGGAGCAAACAGG